GAAACCAUCUGGCUAGAGUCCGGAAGAGGAGAGUGGAAUUCCCGGUGUAGCGGUGAAAUGCGCAGAUAUCGGGAAGAACACCCGUGGCGAAGGCGGCUUUCUGGGACGGUACUGACGCUGAGACGCGAAAGCNUGGGGAGCAAACAGGAUUAGAUACCCUGGUAGUCCACGCCGUAAACGAUGNNUGCUAGGUGUGGNNGGUAUCGANUCCCGUCCGUGCCGAAGCUAACGCAUNAAGUCACNCCGCCUGGGAGUC
rnacentral:rRNA from 1 species